rnacentral:lncRNA from 1 species
GGUAUUCCUUCAAUGGCUUUUGGGUUCACGAACAGGCAAAUAGUCAGGCUGCUCAGGCUAUUUCAGAGAAAAAAUGAAGAACAAGAAGAUACAGAUGGAAACAGAAGGAAGCUAGCCUUCUGUUUUGGUGGGAAAAAGAAGAAAGAAAUUGUCCUGAAGAAGGCAGACUACAGAGUCUGCUGGGAAAGCAUCGACCCAAACUUCCACCAUCACUGAGCGGGAAGAGAGAAUGAAGAGGUUGGGGAAUCUGAUAAUUGAUCUCUAGAAGAUGAUCUGUGAGAGGGAUGAACUUCAUUCAGUCUUGACCCAUUACACCAAAAAGGAUUUGAACCACAGGUCUGAAAUACUCCGGCAGAAGAUCAAACAGGGCAUAGACAAGUGCUCUCUCAGACAGAACUCUUCAAGGGGAGCACUGGGUGUGCAAAGCAAGUGAACCAUCAUUGCAUCUCAUCCCUGUAACCAUGGCAAUUUUGGGCUGCAUUUCCUUUCUUCACUUUGGUUUACUAUUUGUGAAUAGGCCUUGGCUUUGUCUAGCCUCUGACCCAUCAAUAGUGCUUCUGGGUCCGAUUGCCUUUCCUUCUCUGACAGAACCCUUGAGAGAACUGUGGAGGGGGAAAGAAUGCCACUGACAACUUGGAGCACAACAUUCUCUGCACUAGGAUCAAAGCCUCCUCAGAAAAAGUUACCUCCUUAGAGAUGUGAACUCAACAGGGAGGCAAAUACCAACUGAUGUCUGGUAAAGCAGUCAGAAUCUGAGCCACUUGUCUGUUGGCUAACUACUCCAUGGGGAAAGAAAAUUAGAUCAAGAUACAUAAAACUAGGUACAAGAAUUACUCAGAACUCUGACACUCAACAAGUCAUACCAGCAAAGGCACAAUAUAUAGAGAAUAGGUUGUUGGGAAAGUACUACUCUCCUAGGGGCUUUGGCAAGCUGAGUCUUCCAUAUGUGGUGGUGAAUCUGUCGUGGGAACAUGUUGAUGCCACACUCUUUUCCAAACAGACCACACCCAAAAGCAUAUUUUUUCUCAGUUUAGUGUUGAAGGUAUUCCAUGU